UACGAGGGGAGCAAGCGUUGUUCGGAUUUACUGGGCGUAAAGCGUGUGUAGGCGGCAGCCUAAGUCUUGUGUGAAAUCUCAUGGCCCAACCAUGUUUUGUCACAAGAUACUGGGUUGCUAGAGUGUGAGAGAGAGAGAUGGAAUUCUCGGAGUAGCGGUGGAAUGCGUAGAUCUCGAGAGGAACGUCGAUGGCGAAGGCAGUCUCUUGGCUCAUUACUGACGCUCGAACACGAAGGCGUGGGUAGCAAACAGG
rnacentral:rRNA from 1 species